rnacentral:tRNA from 1 species
GUAAAAUUAGUUUAUUUUAAAAUACUAAGUUGUGGGCUUAGAGAAAAAAAGUUUUUUAUUUUACU